rnacentral:rRNA from 1 species
UACGUAGGGUGCAAGCGUUAUCCGGAAUUAUUGGGCGUAAAGAGUUCGUAGGCGGCUUGUCACGUCGGCUGUGAAAACCCGGGGCUCAACCCCGGGCCUGCAGUCGAUACGGGCAAGCUAGAGUUCGGCAGGGGAGACUGGAAUUCCUGGUGUAGCGGUGAAAUGCGCAGAUAUCAGGAGGAACACCGGUGGCGAAGGCGGGUCUCUGGGCCGAUACUGACGCUGAGGAGCGAAAGCGUGGGGAGCGAACAGG